UGUGUAAAUAAAGUAAUGAGACUGAUAACGUAGCUUGGUGACUGGCAGCACUAAUGGCUUUCCGUUUGGAAAGUUUUGUAGAUAAAUAUGUAAUGUGCCUUCAAUACGACUUUGAAUUCCGUAGUGUCACGUGUUUGUCUAUGGCGAUUAUACCGGUUUUUUUUUAGUACGUUAUAAUAAUGAGUGACAAGAAAUCCGAGCAACAAUGUGCUAUCCGAUUUUGUUUU